CUUACAGGUGUGCCAGGUGGGUGCGGCAUCUCAGAAAUGCAUCAUUGAAGAAGAUCAACUCUCAGCUGCUCCACAAGAGCUACAGGGUGUGCAGUGACCACUUUCAGCCUAGCCAGUUCAAGAAGACAUCUGAUGUCCAUGCAGGAUUGAAACGGAAUGCAGUGCCCACAAGGGCAAAUGCCCCUAACCCACCACCCCCACUUCACGUGGAGUUAAAGAGAAAGCCGCCAAAGCAACGUCAGGAGUUACCGAAAAAGAAACGCAAACAGAGUCAUGUGGUUCACCCAUCAAAUGCAGGUGCAUCCACUGCAGCAAGUAUUAAACAACCCACUGGUCCAUCAGAGACAAAUGGCACCGUACCAAAUCACCUCACUGUAAUAUCUGUGGUGGCAAGACGUUUAGCGGUAGCAAAGGUAUCACUGAAGUCAACGCCAUCACAG